AUUCACUCACACUCAUGGCCAUCAGCCAGCUCCCUGAUGCUUCCCAGGGCCUCUCCGUACCCAAGGAAAUACAGGCAUAAAAUAUGUUACAGUUUCUAAAGCACCUGUGUGCUACAGCAGAAACAAAAGGCAGAAUGAGUAAGAGCAGAACAUAAAGAAGAAAAAGUAUCUUGAGUUUCAAAGGACAGCAUCCCCGUGGUGGCUUUGCUGAAAUGGAAGUCAGGAGCUACUGGCAUUUAAACAAUCCAAGAUGUCACCUCAGAGGAAGUUCAGUAAUGCUGACCCCAGGGCCUAAAGUUUUGGAAGAUGGGCCACGAUCCCAUUUCUCUCAGACUCUUACUGGAGGGCUGACUGCCGUGCACCGCCUGGAAGAGGCACUGGGUACAACUGUGUGAAAGAAAGAAACCUCUCCAUGUUAAUCACACUAACUGAUGGUCCAUAGGAGUGUUUCCUCAACUCGAUGGAUGAAAAUGAAGCCUGGAUACCCGUCUAAAGGGGGUCUCAGUGUGUCCCUCGACCAGCAGCAUUGGCAUCACUUGCUGGAAAUGAAGAUGCUUGGGCUCCACCCCAGACCUGCUGCAUCAGAUACUCUGGGAGUGGGGCUUGGCAAUAUUUUAAUAAGUCGUCUGGAGGAUUCUGAUUCUCACUCAAAUUUGAGACCCACUUGGACUGAGGUAUACAGUGGAGUACCAUAAUUCCACACUCCGAAAACAGUGUAUAGUUUGAAUUUAGAACAUGGAAGUCCUUGGCCAGGCACGGCUCUACCUGAUUUCCACACCUCCUGGCUUCCCCACAGCAGCCCUGCUUCUUUUUCCCCAUAGAUAUGUAUUAAAUGAGCAAGCAGUCCUCUAAACUGGAUCAUUUCUAAACGUUCCGAGGACUUUGUGAACAUGCUCAGUAAAGACCAUGGGGUUGGAGUUUGUGAACCCUAUAUAAGGGAUCUCCCAUGUAGAACUCAACUGGGUUCCUUUGGUAGGAAUACCAAGGGACUCCUCUCAGGAAGGAGCUGUUUCAUAUUGUUUCCAGGGGUCCGGUCUGGCUGGAGAAAUAUGUCAACUUAGGUAUCGUGAGAAGAUGAGCUACUAAGCAGGCAUUUUAUUAUUAUGCACUAGAACACAAGGUUGAUUAAAGCACUUCUUAAUUUUAAAAAUUAUUAAAUGGGGAAGGAAAUAAUAGUAUCAGUUAAUCUCAGGUCAGGUUGUUCUUUUCUUUUUCUUUUUUCUUUUUUUAACCUCUCUAAUAAGUUCCUAAACAUCAAGCAUUUCCAUGAAGCUAGACAGUUACUUAAUUAUAGGCUUGGUGAGUAAGUGCUUCUACAGAAUUCUCAAAGGGAUCGCCAGGAUCCUCGUAUAAUAUAGGGUUUAGAUGUUCUGCACUGGAGCCUAUAUACUAGCCCUUUUAUCUUAAGGCACAAAGAUGCCCAGAAGUGGAUGCAACAUGGGGUUACAUACCUUGGGGAGCCAGUCUGGCUCAAGGAUGAGGCAAGCAACUGAAGGCUGUGAUCCAAGGGGCCAGCACCCUCACCCUGCUCGUCAUAGGCCACAGCAGGGCCUGCUCUGGCCACAGUGGCCAUCCAGGGGCCUUGCAGGGCAAGGGAGCCUCUUCGGGGCAGUAACAUCAUGGCUCAUCAUCCAGGAUAGUCAGCACUGCUGAUGUUCCCCUUGUGGCUCUGAGUUUCUCUCUGAGUAACAGGAG
ensembl:lncRNA